rnacentral:lncRNA from 1 species
CAGGCUUGCCCCUGUUUGCAGAGCCGGGAAAAGGAUAAGAGGAUGUCAGAGCGGAUGGGGCAUCUUUGCGCCUAUCUACCUUCUGAGACUGACAUUGUGAACCAUUGCAAGGAGCUGGUCAUUGCAUGAAUUGUUUUGAGCACAUUAUCUUGAAUAAUCAACAUAACAACACUGUGAGGUAAGUGUUAUUAUUAUUCUU